rnacentral:rRNA from 1 species
CCCUUAGAUGUUCUGGGCCGCACGCGCGUUACACUGAUGCAUUCAACGAGUCCAACCUUGACCGAGAGGUCCGGGUAAUCUUUGAAACUGCAUCGUGAUGGGGCUAGAUUAUUGCAAUUAUUAAUCUUCAACGAGGAAUGCCUAGUAAGCGUGAUUCAUCAAAUCGCGUUGAUUACGUCCCUGCCCUUUGUACACACCGCCCGUCGCUCCUACCGAUUGAGUGUGUUGGUGAGGAGUUUGGAUUGGCCUCGGAAGGUGGUUCGCCACCGUCCGUAGCUGAGAAGUUCUCCAAACCGCCCCACUUAGAGGAAGGAGAAGUCGUAACA